rnacentral:rRNA from 1 species
GACUAAGCGUACACGGUGGAUGCCUAGGCAGUCAGAGGCGAUGAAGGGCGUGCUAAUCUGCGAAAAGCGUCGGUAAGCUGAUAUGAAGCGUUACAACCGACGAUACCCGAAUGGGGAAACCCAGUGCAAUUCGUUGCACUAUUGCAUGGUGAAUACAUAGCCAUGCAAGGCGAACCGGGGGAACUGAAACAUCUAAGUACCCCGAGGAAAAGAAAUCAACCGAGAUUCCCCCAGUAGCGGCGAGCGAACGGGGAGGAGCCCAGAGUCUGAAUCAGUCUGUGUGUUAGUGGAAGCGUCUGGAAAGUCGCAGGGUACAGGGUGAUACUCCCGUACACAAAAACACACUUACUGUGAACUCGAUGAGUAGGGCGGGACACGUGACAUCCUGUCUGAAUAUGGGGGGACCAUCCUCCAAGGCUAAAUACUCCUGACUGACCGAUAGUGAACCAGUACCGUGAGGGAAAGGCGAAAAGAACCCCGGCGAGGGGAGUGAAAUAGAACCUGAAACCGUGUACGUACAAGCAGUGGGAGCACCUUCGUGGUGUGACUGCGUACCUUUUGUAUAAUGGGUCAGCGACUUAUAUUUUGUAGCAAGGUUAACCGAAUAGGGGAGCCGUAGGGAAACCGAGUCUUAACUGGGCGUCUAGUUGCAAGGUAUAGACCCGAAACCCGGUGAUCUAGCCAUGGGCAGGUUGAAGGUUGGGUAACACUAACUGGAGGACCGAACCGACUAAUGUUGAAAAAUUAGCGGAUGACUUGUGGCUGGGGGUGAAAGGCCAAUCAAACCGGGAGAUAGCUGGUUCUCCCCGAAAGCUAUUUAGGUAGCGCCUCGUGAACUCAUCUUCGGGGGUAGAGCACUGUUUCGGCUAGGGGGUCAUCCCGACUUACCAAACCGAUGCAAACUCCGAAUACCGAAGAAUGUUAUCACGGGAGACACACGGCGGGUGCUAACGUCCGUCGUGAAGAGGGAAACAACCCAGACCGCCAGCUAAGGUCCCAAAGUCAUGGUUAAGUGGGAAACGAUGUGGGAAGGCAUAGACAGCCAGGAUGUUGGCUUAGAAGCAGCCAUCAUUUAAAGAAAGCGUAAUAGCUCACUGGUCGAGUCGGCCUGCGCGGAAGAUGUAACGGGGCUAAACCAUGCACCGAAGCUGCGGCAGCGACACUUAGGUGUUGUUGGGUAGGGGAGCGUUCUGUAAGCCGUUGAAGGUGGACUGUGAGGUCUGCUGGAGGUAUCAGAAGUGCGAAUGCUGACAUAAGUAACGAUAAUGCGGGUGAAAAACCCGCACGCCGGAAGACCAAGGGUUCCUGUCCAACGUUAAUCGGGGCAGGGUGAGUCGACCCCUAAGGCGAGGCUGAAAAGCGUAGUCGAUGGGAAACAGGUUAAUAUUCCUGUACUCGGUGUUACUGCGAAGGGGGGACGGAGAAGGCUAGGCUAGCCGGGCGACGGUUGUCCCGGUUUAAGCAUGUAGGCGGAGUGACUUGGUAAAUCCGGUCGCUUAUCAACGCUGAGGUGUGAUGACGAUGCACUACGGUGCAGAAGUAGUUGAUGCCAAGCUUCCAGGAAAAGCCUCUAAGCAUCAGGUAACAUUGAAUCGUACCCCAAACCGACACAGGUGGUCAGGUAGAGAAUACUCAGGCGCUUGAGAGAACUCGGGUGAAGGAACUAGGCAAAAUGGUGCCGUAACUUCGGGAGAAGGCACGCUGGCAUUAGGUAAAGAGACUUGCUCUCGUAGCCGAAGCCAGUCGCAGAUACCAGCUGGCUGCAACUGUUUAAUAAAAACACAGCACUGUGCAAACACGAAAGUGGACGUAUACGGUGUGACGCCUGCCCGGUGCUGGAAGGUUAAUUGAUGGGGUCAGCCGCAAGGCGAAGCUCUUGAUCGAAGCCCCAGUAAACGGCGGCCGUAACUAUAACGGUCCUAAGGUAGCGAAAUUCCUUGUCGGGUAAGUUCCGACCUGCACGAAUGGCGUAAUGAUGGCCAGGCUGUCUCCACCCGAGACUCAGUGAAAUUGAACUCGCUGUGAAGAUGCAGUGUACCCGCGGCAAGACGGAAAGACCCCGUGAACCUUUACUAUAGCUUGACACUGAACAUUGAGCCUUGAUGUGUAGGAUAGGUGGGAGGCAUCGAAGUGUGGACGCCAGUCUGCAUGGAGCCAACCUUGAAAUACCACCCUUUAAUGUUUGAUGUUCUAACUCGGCCCCGU